rnacentral:rRNA from 1 species
UUGAACGCUGGCGGCAGGCCUAACACAUGCAAGUCGAACGGUAACAGGAAGAAGCUUGCUUCUUUGCUGACGAGUGGCGGACGGGUGAGUAAUGUCUGGGAAACUGCCUGAUGGAGGGGGAUAACUACUGGAAACGGUAGCUAAUACCGCAUAACGUCGCAAGACCAAAGAGGGGGACCUUCGGGCCUCUUGCCAUCGGAUGUGCCCAGAUGGGAUUAGCUAGUAGGUGGGGUAACGGCUCACCUAGGCGACGAUCCCUAGCUGGUCUGAGAGGAUGACCAGCCACACUGGAACUGAGACACGGUCCAGACUCCUACGGGAGGCAGCAGUGGGGAAUAUUGCACAAUGGGCGCAAGCCUGAUGCAGCCAUGCCGCGUGUAUGAAGAAGGCCUUCGGGUUGUAAAGUACUUUCAGCGGGGAGGAAGGGAGUAAAGUUAAUACCUUUGCUCAUUGACGUUACCCGCAGAAGAAGCACCGGCUAACUCCGUGCCAGCAGCCGCGGUAAUACGGAGGGUGCAAGCGUUAAUCGGAAUUACUGGGCGUAAAGCGCACGCAGGCGGUUUGUUAAGUCAGAUGUGAAAUCCCCGGGCUCAACCUGGGAACUGCAUCUGAUACUGGCAAGCUUGAGUCUCGUAGAGGGGGGUAGAAUUCCAGGUGUAGCGGUGAAAUGCGUAGAGGUCUGGAGGAAUACCGGUGGCGAAGGCGGCCCCCUGGACGAAGACUGACGCUCAGGUGCGAAAGCGUGGGGAGCAAACAGGAUUAGAUACCCUGGUAGUCCACGCCGUAAACGAUGUCGACUUGGAGGUUGUGCCCUUGAGGCGUGGCUUCCGGAGCUAACGCGUUAAGUCGACCGCCUGGGGAGUACGGCCGCAAGGUUAAAACUCAAAUGAAUUGACGGGGGCCCGCACAAGCGGUGGAGCAUGUGGUUUAAUUCGAUGCAACGCGAAGAACCUUACCUGGUCUUGACAUCCACGGAAGUUUUCAGAGAUGAGAAUGUGCCUUCGGGAACCGUGAGACAGGUGCUGCAUGGCUGUCGUCAGCUCGUGUUGUGAAAUGUUGGGUUAAGUCCCGCAACGAGCGCAACCCUUAUCCUUUGUUGCCAGCGGUCCGGCCGGGAACUCAAAGGAGACUGCCAGUGAUAAACUGGAGGAAGGUGAGGAUGACGUCAAGUCAUCAUGGCCCUUACGACCAGGGCUACACACGUGCUACAAUGGCGCAUACAAAGAGAAGCGACCUCGCGAGAGCAAGCGGACCUCAUAAAGUGCGUCGUAGUCCGGAUUGGAGUCUGCAACUCGACUCCAUGAAGUCGGAAUCGCUAGUAAUCGUGGAUCAGAAUGCCACGGUGAAUACGUUCCCGGGCCUUGUACACACCGCCCGUCACACCAUGGGAGUGGGUUGCAAAAGAAGUAGGUAGCUUAACCUUCGGGAGGGCGCUUACCACUUUGUGAUUCAUGACUGGGGUG